UUGUUGCUAUAAAUACCAUCUGAGUUGAAUGACUGAAUCACUGCUAUGUCAUGUCACAAUUCUCUCCUCAGUGAAACCAAGAAGAAAAUCUUGGUUGCCAAAAAUGGACCCUGCUGACCUGUAUGGUUGAUGAAUUCAACACGAUGAGAGAGCUCAGAAAAAUAAUAUAUCCACUGUUGUCUCAUUGUAAUAAAGUCUAAGUUUGAUCAACCUGUGACCUUCUGAUUGUUUUUCUCAAUAUUAUUUAACCAUUUGUGAUGCAUAUUAGAUUCACCUCACUGAAAAAAAACAAAAAUACAAAAAUCUUACCAAGUAUUUGUGUGUAGUUAUAGUGCUAAUAUCUACACUUGACAAAGCUGUUAAAAGCAACUUCUCUCCAAGAUUUGGGAGCUAGUUUUAAGUCAAUAAUGUCUUAAUAUUGAUUACUUAUUAAUCUAUUGAUUAAUAAGAACAAGUUCCACUGGCAGGUGUUUCUUGAUUCAUACUGAAAGUAUUAAUUUAAUGCUGGUUAUAUCAACUUUGAAGUCAAUAUGGUUAAGUGCAAGUUGGAUUCUGAAAAUAAACUUGCUUAGUUUUUUUCUAAAGUUGCUGCACUCAGGGCUCCAAUCCUAAGAAUAGUGAUGUGAACUUUAGAAUUAAAUAUUUAUCUCAUGUUUGAAUAAAACUUAGGUUUGAGCAGAAUUUUAUGUAAUGUUGCGUUUUUAUAUGUCCAAUAGGCUAAAUGUCCUGAUCCAGGGAUUUGGAAUUGCAGUGUGAAUAUGCGCCCUCUGUGCGGCAGAAAUGGAAUUACUUAUUACAAUGACUGUUUCUUUUGCAAGGCGUUACGUAAAUCCAAGAGGCAUCUGGAUCACCAAAAUGGAAUCUGCUGACCUGUGUGGUUGAUCAAAUCAACACUAUGAGGCAACCCAAAAAAUUAUAUAUGCACUGUUCUCUCAUUGUAAUAAAGUCUAUGUUUGAUCAACCUGUGA